CCCAAGAGGAUGUUUUAUCUGAGGAUUCAGCAUGCUGCUGAGAAGGAGGUUUGCCUUUGGCAGAAGCCAAAACUAGAAGGCUUCUAACUGGAUUUUAUAUCCUAUGAUUACUUUUACUAAAGAGUGAUGGAUUUCCUUCAGUGCUCCCUCUGAAUUAAGAGGUUAGGGUAAACCAAGGAGAGUGUCCAGUCACCACAAGAGCAAAAGUGAGCUGCAACUGCCACAAAGCAGUACUACUCGGGUACAGUCCACCUUCCCCUGGGCUGGAGAAUGCUCCUUCGCCCAAUACAGCCUACAAG